GGGUUCGACUGCUCUUGUGUUUGUUAUAUCAAAGUUGGUUGCAUGAGUCACUUCACGAUGGUCAUGUGCACCAGGAAAUUAGCUUGAUUUGAAUAUAGUACAAUCAGGCAUAGCUGCUGGCGUAGGUAGCUGCACUAUGCAGUUACCUAAUUGGAACUCACAACUAGUUUCUUCGGUAGUUCCAACAAAUCAGGGAUUCAGUAUAAAGCAAGCAAUUUUUCCUGUUAGCAAACAUUAAUCAGUUUAGUUGCACUUGCAUAUAAGAAUAGGACAAGGACAGUGUUGUAUUUUGGAGUUUAUUAGUCCAUCUAUAGAAAAUGAAUAACACGAUUCAGAUUAAGGAGUGUUUAGUAGUUGUGUGCUCAUGCAAGUACAUGGUUUAGGUGUACGUGAAUCUUUAAGCUGUUCCUUUCUAGGAGAAUUUCUAAGACUGUUUGCCAUUUACCCAAAGGUUUUGAAGCUUUGGGAGCCUGCGACUGGCUCGACAGGUGGCAUCAGCAAGCGCCGGCCGGCCUCGGCACUGCUGUGGGUGGUUAUAUGGUGGGCGGAGCACACCAUUGGGAUUCGACAUCAGGGAACAGAGUAGUCACAAGGAGCUGCAAUGAUACGUGUACAUGUAACAGUUGUCCAAGCUCUGGAACUUUUUCAGAAAUCAUUGCUCAAACUGUAUGGUCAUCCAGAUGAGGAUGUUGCAAAGGCUAACUGGAAAUACAUCUUCGCAGAAACUUUACAGUCAUUCAGAUGUUGAUUUUGCAACCCCUAAUUGGAACUACAAAUGUCUGCAGAUAGGCCAGAACAGUGUCCAUCUCAAGAUCGAUGGGAGAGUGUUGCACUA